AUAACUCAUGAAUCUGGGAUGGCGGCGAAGAUGCUCGAUCAUCCACAUUUGCAGGAGGAUAUUGCAACCUUCAAAGAUCUGGGCCCCAGAUUUGCAUAAAGUCAACACACGAUAGAUAUCCGCCAGUACCAAUGGGGCAAGUGUAUGAUUUUUCAUGGUGGUGAAGAUUUGUGCAAUUUUAGCCAUACGAAUAUCCAGUAUCACUUUCUCAUUUGGAAAAACCAUUAUCCCCAAGAAUGCCACAAUAAAUGCGAACUGGCGAUGAAGUUACCAAAGACCCUUUUCUUGAUUGUUGCUCAACCCCUUUUCAUGUGUCUCAAAACUAGAAGAAUGCCCAAACCUGAAGUAUAAGAAGUGGAAAUCACAACACCUAUUGCUUACGCAGUUUUUACCUAUCUGUUUGUUGAUAUUCAGGAGGUCAAAAAACUUGUGCACCGAUGGGGUCCUUUGGAAUAUAAGUUGUUGCUUCCUCAGAUCUCAUCCAAACUAAAUGUACCCAGCUAUGUCCUCCAAAGUAGGGGUAAUCUCAAAGUCAAAUAAGCGAAAAGCAUUACGAGCAGGGUCCUAGAAAGUUAUCAUUGCCUUGAUCAGAUCGUCUCAUGGUUUGAUCUCCCAAAUGUCUAUAAGAGCGCCCAACUUUUGUCUUACCCAUUUCUGACCAUCUUGAUCCAAAUUAUUCCACCACAUGCGCAAAUCUACUUGAGCCUGCUCCCUGAUCACUAAUAGUGGGUCCUGGAUAACAUUCAUUCAUUCUUGUAGAAAGGUAGGGUUAGGAUUGUCUCUAAGGACCCUUUUUGAAAACAAGUUACUAAUUUUAAAACAAAGACAAUUGUGAUUCCCUCCUUGACAUGCCAAUUUUAGCCAAAUGGAUGUCUUUGCAAAUAUGGCCCUUUCCCAUUUCCAUAUGAAUUUCGAGGCCAGGGAAGCUUAUUUUGUGGCACUUCUCAAAUUUUUCCAUUCUUUUACGAAUAUACCCCUUCGAUAACAGGAUAAUAUUCUAAGGCUUCUCGGUAAGAACGGUUUAAAACACUAGCGACACUAAAUCGGCUUAUUUUUCUCUCUUUCUUUUUUUCUCUCUAUUUUUCAAAAUAAGGCCAGACGUUAUGUAGGUUGCCUAUGUAUCAUAUAUCCGAUGGGAAUCAGACCCGCAUAGUUCGGCCAAUUUGAUUUUAAAAUGACUAUUUCCGGUAAAAAUAUUCGGCAGCGUUUUGGGGUAAUUUCAAGCAUUGGGUUUUCUUUAGAAUCGAGUUUACUCCUUUCCUGCAUCACUCUUGGUCUUUUCUCUCUCUUUUUCCACUUUUCUUAUUUUUUUAUUAUUCUUCACUCUUAUAUUCUUAUUUAG
rnacentral:lncRNA from 1 species